rnacentral:rRNA from 1 species
UUAAAUGGCUGCAGUAAUUUGACUGUACAAAGGUAGCAUAAUCAAUAGUUUUUUAAUUGAAAGCUUGUAUGAAAGGUUGGACGAGAUAAUAUCUGUCUUUAUUUAAUAUAAAUAAGAAUUUAAUUUUUAAGUCAAAAAGCUUAAAUUUUUAUAAAAGACGAGAAGACCCUAUAGAUCUUUAUAAAUUUAUUUUUAUAAUUAUUUUAGAUUUAUUAAUUUUAUAUUAUAUAAGUUUAUUUUAUUGGGGUAAUAAAAAGAUUUAUUUAAUUCUUUUUUUUUAUUUUAUUAAUUUAUAUAUUUUUGAUCCAUUAUUAAUGAUUAAAAGAUUAAGUUACCUUAGGGAUAACAGCGUAAUUUUUUUAGAGAGUUCAUAUUGAUAAAAAAGUUUGCGACCUCGAUGUUGGAUUAAAGAUUAAUUUAGGUGCAAAAGUUUAAAUUUUUGGUCUGUUCGACCAUUAAAUCUUUACAUGAUCUGAGUUCAGACCGGUGUAAGCCAGGUCGGUUUCUAUCUUUAUAAAAUUAAAAUAUUUUAGUACGAAAGGACCAAAUAUUAAUUAUAAUAAUUUUUAUUUUGAAUAUUAUU